GAAAAAGAAAAAAGAAAACCCCGCGCCAUAAUUAACGAAUGGAGGGAACAAUAUGAAUCCAGAAUUGAAGGAUUCGUAAUUUUUGUGUUCACCCUUCUUGUUCGAUACAUCUCUCUGUCUUUGCUAAAGACUCGAAUGGACCAAACCCUAUUUGAACCUCAUUCUCCACCGAUUCCAAUCAUUUCAUUUUCAGUCGAUGAUAAAGCAGGGGAGCGCUGUGGAGGCAUUAGAAGCAGUGGAACCGCUUAGAGUUUGAUUUUCCUUUACCCUGCAUCUUUCGAUUUAGUUUUCAAUUAUUGAUCUCAUGUUUGUGUUGAUAAUGUUCUAGUGUUGCUCUUCUCUAUUAGAGAUCUUCUUGUUGCUUGCUUUUAAUUAACUGUUAUCUCUUCAAGUAUAAAGCAUGUGAUGCAUAUUGGUACCGUGAAUCGGUUCUGUUUGGAACUCUAUUCUUUACUUUCUGACACGGUCGCCUGGUCCUAGCGAAAAGAAUUUUGUUUUCCCACGUGGCUCGAUAUGACUACAGAAAGUUACUCAAAAGAAUGCAAUAAUUGAGAUUCAAGUUAGGAUUGGGAAGGGAUGGCCUUAAUCCAUUGAGGGGGCGUUUGGAGCAAGAAGUGAAGUUAUUUAAUCUUGAGUUGUUUAGCUUCGGGAGUUAACUAAUCUGAGGAAUUAUUUAAUCUGUGUUUGGGGUGAAUUUGGAGGUGUGGAGUCAACCAUUUUAUUCCUUCACUUCUCUAUUUGAUAUAUUGAUGAGGUAGUGAUAAGUUUCUGAGCUAAUCUUGACGUGUUGAAGGUGUGAGCCUAUAGUUUUGAAGUGGGGUGUGAAGUGAAGUUAGUCUUUGUCAUGUCAAAUGCAAUUUUGAUUGGAUAAUCAUGAAUGUUGGAGUCAACUUAUGUGCACUGCAGCAAUAUCGAAGGACAACUGCGGUAGUGAACAGACAUUUGGCGUUGAAAAACUAAACAAAUACUUGACAUCUUAGGUAGACAACAUUUAAAGUCUCAACCCGUGACUUUUACUCUCUUCGACCACCAAGCUGGUUCAUUGUGGUUCAUGUCAAAUGUAUUGAAACUCACAUGAUCCAUUGCAUUAAGAAUUAUCUAUAUGAGAAAUUAAGCAUUCAAUGAUUCAAAUCAACAAUGAGAUUUUUGGGGAUGAGACUUAAUGUCUUUGGUAGCUAAGUUAAUGCCUCAAAUGGCAUAAAGUCAUCGUUUGUAUUGGAAGAUCGAUUAUUAAAAGCCAUAUUUGGUAUUCAAAUAUCCACUUAAAAGGAAAUCAGGAAAGAAAUACCAAUAAGAAAUAGGGUUUGAGUUAUUGAGGCGAGAUGGACCUAUUCCUCAGAGGAAUUAACACAGGACAAGUAAUCCAAAGGUGGCCCCGUAAUGUUGUUUCAUCCAAUAUGGUAUGUUCUUUGUUGUCAAAGUGUAGGGAGUCAAUAUCACUUGCCUUUUUAGUCUCUACUGUUUGAACACCCUUUUUAGAAAUUGUAUGAACUGGGUUUGACAAUGCUACUAAGGAUAAUAUCAUACAUUUAUCUGUGGGCAAAGGGUUAGAAAACACGGCAGAACUCUCUUGAUGAAUAGAGGAAAGGAUUUGCUCCGGAAAUUCGGCCACAUCCCCUCGAUAAGAUAAUAAAGAAAAGGAAAAAGGUGCAUCUGCGGGCCUUGUCAAAUUUUGUAGCUUAUUUUUGGUCAACUAUUUUGUAAUUAAUUAUUCUUGGUGCAGUUUUUUAUUUGCUACUUUCAUUGGGGACUUUUCUCUUCUUUUAUAACUCCGACCAUAUUAGUUAGAACCGAUGUCUCUUGUUAAAAAAAAAAAUGUAGAAAGGAACAAAGGGAACUAGAAAGGAAUAAGUUCCCAUUUGUGCCCUUGGUAUCGUGAGGGAAAUGCACACAUGCAAAUCUCAAAUGCAAUUUAGUUCCUUUGUGCUAAACAUUAAACAGGCCUGAGAUACGGAAAUGGAUGUUAUUUUUGGAACUAUGUCUUGAGUCAUUCAAAUGGUUAAGAUGAUCUUCGUUUUGUGUUAACUAGAAUCUAAAAGACUUCUUGUUUGUUUUGGGGAUAUUUCAAAGCAUGAACUGAUUUGAAGUUUCUCUACUUCAAACAUUUCAGUUUUCUCAACUAUUCUUUCCAUUAGUUUAGUUGGAAAAAGGAACCUGUCGGCUGUCAUCAACUUUAGUCUGAGGGAAUAUGUCAAUGCAUCUUGGACGCAACAAAUACAAGUGUCCUGAAGAACAUUGGAGGAUGCUCAUUAUUUCCGCUGUAGGACACCGCCAUAUGGCAUCUUUUUUUUAUCAUCCAAUUCAGAUUCUGAUGUUUCAGAUAGCAUUCACAUAUUGAUUAUCAGAGAAAUUGAUUGGGACCAUUGAGGCGCUCUACUUGCCAAUUGUAUGGUUCAAAAUUUGGUAAGGUAAAUCAAGCAUGUCAACCAAGCAGAGGAGAGGAGGUAUUGGUACGUAGAUACAUGUACCUUUAGAGACCCAGUUGCUAAUCAAUACCCUUUCUCCAUCUCUAUCAACUCAGCUUAAUAGAAUUGUGUGAACUUGUAUCCGGAUUUGCAUUUAUUAUCACUCAUGUUCAGACCUGAUCAGUCUGAGUUGACAAUAAAUAGCUGUAUGCAGAGAUAUAGACUAGCAAGAAGAGAGUGGCGUGCACCAAAUCUAGUGCAGAGGAUUCUUUUUCAAUGGUAUCAAACAUUCAACGAUGCCUCAAGUCUUUUCUUCAAAGUGGGCUCACAAACUUGUUGGGGGAGAGAAUUAAACUCGAAAAUAGAGUAGGGUUGUCUGUGUAAGGAUCCUAUCUAUAAA